rnacentral:rRNA from 1 species
AUUGAACGCUGGCGGCAGGCCUAACACAUGCAAGUCGAACGAGUGGCGGACGGGUGAGUAAUGUCUGGGACACUGCCCGAUGGAGGGGGAUAACUACUGGAAACGGUAGCUAAUACCGCAUACUAUCGGAUGCGCCCAGAUGGGAUUAGCUAGUAGGUGGGGUAACGGCUCACAUAGGCGACGAUCCCUAGCUGGUCUGAGAGGAGGACCAGCCACACUGGAACUGAGACACGGUCCAGACUCCUACGGGAGGCAGCAGUGGGGAAUAUUGCGCAAUGGGCGAAAGCCUGACGGAGCAACGCCGCGUGAAUGAAGAAGGUCUUCGGGUCGUAAAGCACUGUUAGUAGGGAAGCGGUACCUAAACAGAAAGCAACGGCUAACUCCGUGCCAGCAGCCGCGGUAAUAC